UACGUAGGGGGCUAGCGUUGUCCGGAAUCAUUGGGCGUAAAGAGCGUGUAGGCGGUCAGGUAGGUCCGUUGUGAAAACUCGAGGCUCAACCUCGAGACGCCGAUGGAAACCGUAUGGCUAGAGUCCGGAAGAGGAGAAUGGAAUUCCUGGUGUAGCGGUGAAAUGCGCAGAUAUCAGGAAGAACACCCGUGGCGAAGGCGGUUCUCUGGGACGGUACUGACGCUGAGACGCGAAAGCGUGGGGAGCGAACAGG
rnacentral:rRNA from 1 species